rnacentral:rRNA from 1 species
UAGGGAAUCUUCGGCAAUGGGGGCAACCCUGACCGAGCAACGCCGCGUGAGUGAAGAAGGUUUUCGGAUCGUAAAGCUCUGUUGUAAGUCAAGAACGAGUGUGAGAGUGGAAAGUUCACACUGUGACGGUAGCUUACCAGAAAGGGACGGCUAACUACGUGCCAGCAGCCGCGGUAAUACGUAGGUCCCGAGCGUUGUCCGGAUUUAUUGGGCGUAAAGCGAGCGCAGGCGGUUUGAUAAGUCUGAAGUUAAAGGCUGUGGCUCAACCAUAGUUCGCUUUGGAAACUGUCAAACUUGAGUGCAGAAGGGGAGAGUGGAAUUCCAUGUGUAGCGGUGAAAUGCGUAGAUAUAUGGAGGAACACCGGUGGCGAAAGCGGCUCUCUGGUCUGUAACUGACGCUGAGGCUCGAAAGCGUGGGGAGCGAACAGGAUUAGAUACCCUGGUAGUCCACGCCGUNNCGAUGAGCGCUAGGUGUUGGAUCCUUUCCGGGAUUCAGUGCCGCAGCUAACGCAUUAAGCACUCCGCCUGGGGAGUACGACCGCAAGGUUG